UACGAAGGGGGCUAGCGUUGCUCGGAAUCACUGGGCGUAAAGGGUGCGUAGGCGGGUCUUUAAGUCAGGGGUGAAAUCCUGGAGCUCAACUCCAGAACUGCCUUUGAUACUGAGGAUCUUGAGUUCGGGAGAGGUGAGUGGAACUGCGAGUGUAGAGGUGAAAUUCGUAGAUAUUCGCAAGAACACCAGUGGCGAAGGCGGCUCACUGGCCCGAUGCUGACGCUGAGGUGCGAAAGCGUGGGGAGCAAAACGG
rnacentral:rRNA from 1 species